CACCCGUUUUUUGGCCGUUUUUCCGCUGGGGGGUUUUGGCACCACGACCUUCGGGCGCUUAUUUUUGGGCGCGGCUUUGCCCACGGCUUAUUUUUAGCACCCCGAGGCCCCUCGCAAAGUCCGCCCCAUUCCGAGUCCGGCGGACGAACUUCGCCCGCGCCCACCACCAAGGCUAUAGCCCACCCGUUUUUUGGCCAUUGUUCCGCUGGGGGGUUUUGGCACCACGACCUUCGGGCGCGGCUUUGCCCGCGGCUUAUUUUUGGCACCCCGAGGCCCCUCGCAAAGUCUCGCCCCAUUCCGAGUCCCGCGGACGAACUUCGCCCGCGCCCCCCACCAAGGCUAUAGCCCACCCGUUUUUUGGCUAUUUUUCCGUUGGGGGGUUUUCGCACCACGACCUUCGGGCGCUUAUUUUUGGGAGCGGCUUUGCCCGCGGCUUAUUUUUGGCACCCCGAGGCCCCUCGCAAAGUCCGCCCCAUCCCGAGUCCGGCGGACGAACUUCGCCCGCGGCCCUACCAAGGCUAUAGCCCACACGUUUUUUGGCCAUUUUUCCGCUGGGGGGUUUUGGCACCACGACCUUCGGGCGCGGCUUUGCCCGCGGAUUAUUUUUGGCACCCCGAGGCCCCUCGCAAAGUUUCGCCCCAUUCCAAGUCCGGUGGACGAACUUCGCACGCGCCCCCCACCAAGGCUAUAGCCCACCCGUUUUUUGGCUAUUUUUCCGUUGGGGGGUUUUCGCACCACGACCUUCGGGCGCUUAUUUUUGGGUGCGGCUUUGCCCGCGGCUUAUUUUUGGCACCCCGAGGCCCCUCGCAAAGUCUCGCCCCAUUCCGAGUCCGGCGGACGAACUUCGCCCGCGCCCCCCACCAAGGCUAUAGCCCACCCGUUUUUUGGCUAUUUUUCCGUUGGGGGAUUUUCGCACCACGACUUUCGGGCGCAUAUUUUUGGGCGCGGCUUUCCCCGCGGCUUAUUUUUGGCACCCCGAGGCCCCUCGCAAAGUCCGCCCCAUUCCGUGUCCGGCGGACGAACUUCGCCCGCGCCCCCUACCAAGGCUAUAGCCCACACGUUUUUUGGCCAUUGUUCCGCUGGGGGGUUUUGGCACCACGACCUUCGGGCGCGGCUUUGCCCGCGGAUUAUUUUUGGCACCCCGAGGGCCCUCGCAAAGUCUCGCCCCAUUCCAAGUCCGGCGGACGAACUUCGCCCGCGCCCCCCACCAAGGCUAUAGCCCACCCGUUUUUUGGCCAUUUUUCCGCCGGGGGGUUUUGGCACCACGACCUUCGGGCGCUUAUUUUUGGGCGCGGCUUUGCCCGCGGCUUAUUUUUGGCACCCCGAGGCCCCUCGCAAAGUCUCGCCCCAUUCCGAGUCCGGCAGACUAACUUCGCCCGCGCCCCCCACCAAGGCUAUAGCCCACCCGUUUUUUGGCCAUUUUUCCGCGGGGGGGUUUUGGCACCACGACCUUCGGGCGCUUAUUUUUGGACGCGGCUUUGCCCGCGGCUUAUUUUUGGCACCCCGAGGCCCCUCGCAAAGUCUCGCCCCUUUCCGAGUCCGGCGGACGAACUUCGCCCGCGCCCCCCACCAAGGCUAUAACCCACCCGUUUUUUGGCCAUUGUUCCGCUGGGGGGUUUUGGCACCACGACCUUCGGGCGCUUAUUUUUGGGCGCGGCUUUGCCCGCGGCUUAUUUUUGGCACCCCGAGGCCCCUCGCAAAGUCUCGCCCCAUUCCGAGUCCGGCGGGCGAACUUCGCCCGCGCCCCCCACCAAGGCUAUAGCCCGCCCGUUUUUUGGCCAUUGUUCCGCUGGGGGGUUUUGGCACCACGACCUUCGGGCGCGGCUUUGCCCGCGGAUUAUUUUUGGCAUCCCGAGGCCCCUCGCAAAGUCUCGCCCCAUUCCGAGUCCGGCGGACGAACUUCGCCCGCGCCCCCCACCAAGGCUAUAGCCCACCCGUUUUUUGGCCAUUGUUCCGCUGGGGGGUUUUGGCACCACGACCUUCAGGCGCUUAUUUUUGGGCACGGCUUUGCCGGCGGCUUAUUUUUGGCACCCCGAGGCCCCUCGCAAAAAGUCGCCCCAUUCCGAGUCUGGCGGACGAACUUCGCCCGCGCCCCCGACCAAGGCUAUAGCCCACCCGUUUUUUGGCCAUUGUUCUGCUGGGGGGUUUUGGCACCACGACCUUCGGGCGCUUAUUUUUGGCCGUGGCUUUGCCCGCGGCUUAUUUUUGGCACCCCGAGGCCCCUCGCAAAGUCUCGCCCCAUUCCGAGUCCGGCGGACGAACUUCGCCCGCGCCCCCCACCAAGGCUAUAGCCCACCCGUUUUUUGGCCAUUUUUCCGCUGGGGGGUUUUGGCACCACGACCUUCGGGCUCUUAUUUUUGGGCGCGGCUUUGCCCGCGGCUUAUUUUUGGCACCCCUAGGCCCCUCGCAAAGUCUCAUCCCAUUCCGAGUCCGGCGGACGAACUUCGCCCGCGCCCCCCACCAAGGCUAUAGCCCACCCGUUUUUUGGCCAUUUUUCCGCUGGGGGGUUUUGGCACCACGACCUUCGGGCGCGGCUUUGCCCGCGGAUUAUUUUUGGCAUCCCGAGGCCCCUCGCAAAGUCUCGCCCCAUUCCGAGUCCGGCGGACGAACUUCGCCCGCGCCCCCCACCAAGGCUAUAGCCCACCCGUUUUUUGGCCAUUGUUCCGCUGGGGGGUUUUGGCACCACGACCUUCGGGCGCUUAUUUUUGGGCACGGCUUUGCCCGUGGCUUAUUUUUGGCACCCCGAGGCCCCUCACAAAAACUCGCCCCAUUCCGAGUCCGGCGGACGAACUUCGCCCGCGCCCCCCACCAAGGCUAUAGCCCACCCUUUUUUGGCCAUUGUUCUGCUGGGGGGUUUUGGCACCACGACCUUCGGGCGCUUAUUUUUGGGCGCGGCUUUGCCCGUGGCUUGUUUUUGGCACCCCGAAGCCCCUCGCAAAGUCUCGACCCAUUCCGAGUCCGGCGGACGAACUUCGCCCGCGCCCCCCACCAAGGCUAUAGCCCACCCGUUUUUUUGCCAUUCUUCCGCUGGGGGGUUGUGGCACCACGACCUUCGGGCACUUAUUUUUGGGCGCGGCUUUGCCCGCGGCUUAUUUUUGGCACCCCGAGGCCCCUCGCAAAGUCUCGCCCCAUUCCGAGUCCGGCGGACGAACUUCGCCCGCGCCCCCCACCAAGGCUAUAGCCCACCCGUUUUUUGGCCAUUUUUCCGCUGGGGGGAUUUGGCACCACGACCUUCGGGCGCUUAUUUUUGGGCGCGGCUUUGCCCGCGGCUUAUUUUUGGCACCCCGAACCCCCUCGCAAUGUCUCGCCCCAUUCCGAGUCCGGCGGGCGAACUUCGCCCGCGCCCCCCACCAAGGCUAUAGCCCACCCGUUUUUUGGCCAUUGUUCCGCUGGGGGGUUUUGGUACCACGACCUUCGGACGCUUAUUUUUGGGCGCGGCUUUGCCCGCGGCUUAUUUUUGGCACCCCGAGGCCCCUCGCAAAGUUUCGCCCCAUUCCGAGUCCGGCGGACGAACUUCGCCCGUGCCCCCCACCAAGGCUAUAGCCCACCCGUUUUUUGGCCAUUGUUCCGCUGGGGGGUUUUGGCACCACGACCUUCAGGCGCGGCUUUGCCCGCGGCUUUUUUUUGGCACCCUGAGGCCCCUCGCAAAGUCUCGCCCCAUUCCGAGUCCGGCGGACGAACUUCGCCCGCGCCCUCCACCAAGGCUAUAGCCCACCCGUUUUUUGGUCAUUGUUCCGCUGGGGGGUUUUGGCACCACGACCUUCGGGCGCUUAUUUUUGGGCGCAGCUUUACCCGCGGCUUAUUUUUGGCACCCCGAGGCCCCUCGCAAAGGCUCGCCCCAUUCCGAGUCCGGCGGACGAACUUCUCCCGCGCCCCCCACCAAGGCUAUAGCCCACCCGUUUUUUGGCCAUUUUUCCGCUGGGGGGUUUUGGCACCACGAUCUUCGGGCGCUUAUUUUGGGGCGCGGCUUUGUCCGCGGCUUAUUUUUGGCACCCCGAGGCCCCUCGCAAAGUCUCGCCACAUUCCGAGUCCGGCGGACGAACUUCGCCCGCGCCCCCCACCAAGGCUAUAGCCCACCCGUUUUUUGGCUAUUUUUCCGCUGGGGUGUUUUGGCACCACGACCUUCGGGCGCUUAUUUUUGGGCGCGACUUUGCCCGCGGCUUAUUUUUGGCACCCCGAGGCCCCUUGCAAAGUCUCGCCCCAUUCCGAGUCCGGCGGACGAACUUCGCCCGCGCCCCCCACCAAGGCUAUAGCCCACCCGUUUUUUGGCCAUUGUUCCGCUGGGGGGUUUUGGCACCACGACCUUCGGGCGCGGCUUUGCCCGCGGCUUAUUUUUGGCACCCUGAGGCCCCUUGCAAAGUCUCGCCCCAUUCCGAGUCCGGCGGACGAAUUUCGCCCGCGCCCCCCACCAAGGCUAUAGCCCACCCGUUUUUUGGCCAUUGUUCCGCUGGGGGGUUUUGGCACCACGACCUUCGGGCGAUUAUUUUUGGGCGCAGAUUUGCCCGCGGCUUAUAUUUGGCACCCCGAGGCCCCUCGCAAAGUCUCGCCCCAUUCCGAGUCCGGCGGACGAACUUCGCCCGCGCCCCCCACCAAGGCUAUAGCCCACCCGUUUUUUGGCCAUUUUUCCGCUGGGGGGUUUUGGAACCACGACCUUCGGGCGCUUAUUUUUGGGCGCGGCUUUGCCCGCGGCUUAUUUUUGGCACCCCGAGGCCCCUCGCAAAGUCUCGCCCCAUUCCGAGUCCGGCGGACGAACUUCGCCCGCGCCCCCCACCAAGGCUAUAGCCCACCCGUUUUUUGGCCAUUUUUCCGCUGGGGGGUUUUGGCACCACGACCUUCGGGCGCUUAUUUUUGGGCGCGGCUUUGCUCGUGGCUUAUUUUUGGUACCCCGACGCCCCUCGCAAAGUCUCGCCCCAUUCCGAGUCCGGCGGACGAACUUCGCCCGCGCCCCCCACCAAGGCUAUAGCCCACCCGUUUUUUGGCCAUUUUUCCGCUGGGGGGUUUUGGCUCCACGACCUUCGGGCGCGGCUUUGUCCGCGGCUUAGUUUUGGCACCCCGAGGCCCCUCGCAAAGUCUCGCCCCAUUCCGAGUCCGGCGGACGAACUUCGCCCGCGCCCCCCACCAAGGCUAUAGCCCACCCGUUUUUUGGCCAUUGUUCCGCUGGGGGGUUUCGGCACCACGACCUUCGGGCGCUUAUUUUUGGGCUCGGCUUUGCCCGCGGCUUAUUUUUGGCACCCCGAGGCGCCUCGCAAAGUCUCGCCCCAUUCCAAGUCCGGCGGACGAACUUCGCCCGUGCCCCCCACCAAGGCUAUAGCCCACCCGUUUUUUGGCCAUUGUUCCGCUGGGGGGUUUUGGCACCACGACCUUCGGGCGCGGCUUUGCCCGCGGAUUAUUUUUGGCACCCCGAGGCCCCUCGCAAAGUCUCGCCCCAUUCCGAGUCCGGUGGACGAACUUCGCCCGCCCCCCCCACCAAGGCUAUAGCCCACCCGUUUUUUGGCCAUUCUUCCGCUGGGGGAUUUUGGCACCACGACCUUCGGGUGCUUAUUUUUGGGCGCGGCUUUGCCCGCGGCUUAUUUUUGGCACCCCGAGGCCCCUCGCAAAGUCUCGCCCCAUUCCGAGUCCGGCGGACGAACUUCGCCCGCGCCCCCCACCAAGGCUAUUGCCCACUCGUUUUUUGGCCAUUGUUCCGCUGGGGGGUUUUGGCACCACGACCUUCGGGUGCUUAUUUUUGGGCGCGGCUUUGCCCGCGGCUUAGUUUUGGCACCCCGAGGCCCCUCGAAAAGUCUCGCCCCAUUCCGAGUCCGGCGGACGAACUUCGCCCGUGCCCCCCACCAAGGCUAUAGCCCACCCGUUUUUUGGCCAUUUUUCCGCUGGGGGAUUUUGGCACCACGACCUUCGGCGCUUAUUUUUGGGCGCGGCUUUGCCCUCGGCUUAUUUUUGGCACCCCGAGGCCCCUCGCAAAGUCUCGCCCCAUUCCGAGUCCGGCGGACGAACUUCGCCCGCGCCCCCCACCAAGGCUAUUGCCCACUCGUUUUUUGGCCAUUGUUCCGCUGGGGGGUUUUGGCACCACGACCUUCGGGUGCUUAUUUUUGGGCGCGGCUUUGCCCGCGGCUUAGUUUUGGCACCCCGAGGCCCCUCGAAAAGUCUCGCCCCAUUCCGAGUCCGGCGGACGAACUUCGCCCGCGCCCCCCCCCAAGGCUAUAGCCCACCCGUUUUUUGGCCAUUUUUCCCCUGGGGGGUUUUGGCACCACGACCUUCGGCGCUUAUUUUUGGGCGCGGCUUUGCCCUCGGCUUAUUUUUGGCACCCCGAGGCCCCUCGCAAAGUCUCGCCCCAUUCCGAGUCCGGCGGACGAACUUCGCCCGCGCCCCCCACCAAGGCUAUUGCCCACCCGUUUUUUGGCCAUUGUUCCGCUGGGGGGUUUUGGCACCACGACCUUCGGGUGCUUAUUUUUGGGCGCGGCUUUGCCCGCGGCUUAGUUUUGGCACCCCGAGGCCCCUCGAAAAGUCUCGCCCCAUUCCGAGUCCGGCGGACGAACUUCGCCCGUGCCCCCCACCAAGGCUAUAGCCCACCCGUUUUUUGGCCAUUUUUCCGCUGGGGGGUUUUGGCACCACGACCUUCGGCGCUUAUUUUUGGGCGCGGCUUUGCCCUCGGCUUAUUUUUGGCACCCCGAGGCCCCUCGCAAAGUCUCGCCCCAUUCCGAGUCCGGCGGACGAACUUCGCCCGCGCCCCCCACCAAGGCUAUAGCCCACCCGUUUUUUGCCCAUUUUUCCGCUGGGGGGUUUUGGCACCACGACCUUCGGCGCUUAUUUUUGGGCGCGGCUUUGCCCUCGGCUUAUUUUUGGCACCCCGAGGCCCCUCGCAAAGUCUCGCCCCAUUCCGAGUCCGGCGGACGAACUUCGCCCACGCCCCCCACCAAGGCUAUAGCCCACCCGUUUUUUGGCCAUUUUUCCGCUGGGGGGUUUUGGCACCACAACCUUCGGGCGCUUAUUUUUGGGCGCGGCUUUGCCCGCGGCUUAUUUUUGGCACCCCGAGGCCCCUCGCAAAGUCUCGCCCCAUUCCGAGUCCGGCGGACGAACUUCGCCCGCGCCCCCCACCAAGGCUAUAGCCGACCCGUUUUUUGGCCAUUGUUCCGCUGGGGGGUUUUGGCACCACGACCUUCGGGCACUUAUUUUUGGGCGCGGCUUUGCCCGCGGCUUAUUUUUGGCACCCCGAGGCCCCUCGCAAAGUCUCGCCCCAUUCCGAGUCCGGCGGACGAACUUCGCCCGCGCCCCCCACCAAGGCUAUAGCCCACCCGUUUUUUGGCCAUUUUUCCGCUGGGGGGUUUUGGCACCACGACCUUCGGACGCUUAUUUUUGGGCGCGGCUUUGCCCGCGGCUUAUUUUUGGCACCCCGAGGCCCCUCGCAAAGUCUCGCCCCAUUUCGAGUCCGGCGGACGAACUUCGCCCACGCCCCCCACCAAGGCUAUAGCCCACCCGUUUUUUGGCCAUUUUUCCGCUGGGGGGUUUUGGCACCACGACCUUCGGGCGCAUAUUUUUGGGCGCGGCUUUGCCCGCGGCUUAUUUUUGGCACCCCGAGGCCCCUCGCAAAGUCCCGCCCCAUUCCGAGUCCGGCGGGACAAACUUCGCCCGCGCCCCCNNNNNNNNNNNNNNNNNNNNNNNNNNNNNNNNNNNNNNNNNNNNNNNNNNNNNNNNNNNNNNNNNNNNNNNNNNNNNNNNNNNNNNNNNNNNNNNNNNNNNNNNNNNNNNNNNNNNNNNNNNNNNNNNNNNNNNNNNNNNNNNNNNNNNNNNNNNNNNNNNNNNNNNUCGCCCGCGCCCACCACCAAGGCUAUAGCCCACCCGUUUUUUGGCCAUUGUUCCGCUCGGGGGUUUUGGCACCACGACCUUCGGGCGCUUAUUUUUGGGCGCGGCUUUGCCCGCGGCUUAUUUUUGGCACCCCGAGGCCCCUCGCAAAGUCUCGCCCCAUUCCGAGUCCAGCGGACGAACUUCGCCCGCGCCCCCCACCAAGGCUAUAGCCCACCCGUUUAUUGGCCAUUGUUCCGCUGGGGGGUUUUGGCACCACGACCUUCGGGCGCUUAUUUUUGGGCGCGGCUUUGCCCGCGGCUUAUUUUUGGCACCCCGAGGCCCCUCGCAAAGUCUGGCCCCAUUCCGAGUCCGGCGGACGAACUUCGCCCGCGCCCCCCACCAAGGCUAUAGCCCACCCGUUUUUUGGGCAUUUUUCCGCUGGGGGGUUUUGGCACCACGACCUUCGGACGCUUAUUUUUGGGCGCGGCUUUGCCCGCGGCUUAUUUUUGGCACCCCGAGGCCCCUCGGAAAGUCUCGCCCCGUUCCGAGUCCGGCGGACGAACUUCGCCCGCGCACCCCACCAAGGCUAUAGCCCACCAGUUUUUUGGCCAUUUUUCCGCUGGGGGGUUUUGGCACCACGACCUUCGGGCGCUUAUUUUUGGGCGCGGCUUUGCCCGCAGCUUAUUUUUGGCACCCCGAGGCCCCUCGCAAAGUCUCGCCCCAUUUCGAGUCCGGCGGACGAACUUCGCCCACGCCCCCCACCAAGGCUAUAGCCCACCCGUUUUUUGGCCAUUUUUCCGCUGGGGGGUUUUGGCACCACGACCUUCGGGCGCAUAUUUUUGGGCGCGGCUUUGCCCGCGGCUUAUUUUUGGCACCCCGAGGCCCCUCGCAAAGUCUCGCCCCAUUCCGAGUCCGGCGGACGAACUUCGCCCGCGCCCCCCACCAAGGCUAUAGCCGACCCGUUUUUUGGCCAUUGUUCCGCUGGGGGGUUUUAGCACCACGACCUUCGGGCACUUAUUUUUGGGCGCGGCUUUGCCCGCGGCUUAUUUUUGGCACCCCGAGGCCCCUCGCAAAGUCUCGCCCCAUUCCGAGUCCGGCGGACGAACUUCGCCCGCGCCCCCCACCAAGGCUAUAGCCCACCCGUUUUUUGGCCAUUUUUCCGCUGGGGGGUUUUGGCACCACGACCUUCGGGCGCUUAUUUUUGGACGCUGCUGUGCCCGCGACUUCCCGCGGGCACCCCGAGGCCCCUCGCAAAGUCUCGCCCCAUUCCGAGUCUGGCGGACGAACUUCGCCCGCGCCCCCUCCAAGGCUAUAGCCCACCCGUUUUUUGGCCAUUUUUCCGCUGGGGGGUUUUGGUUACACGACCUUCGGGCGCUUAUUUUUGGGCGCGGCUAUGCCCGCGGCUUAUUUUUGGCACCCCGAGGCCCCUCGCAAAGUCUCGCCCCAUUCCGAGUCUGGCGGACGAACUUCGCCCGCGCCCCCUCCAAGGCUAUAGCCCACCCGUUUUUUGGCCAUUUUUCCGCUGGGGGGUUUUGGUUACAUGACCUUCGGGCGCUUAUUUUUGGGCGCGGCUUUGCCCGUGGCUUAUUUUUGGCACCCCGAGGCCCCUCGCAAAGUCUCGCCCCAUUCCGAGUCCGGCGGACGAACUUCGCCCGCGCCCCCCACCAAGGCUAUAGCCCACCCGUUUUUGGUCCAUUUUUCCGCUGGGGGGUUUUGGCACCCUGACCUUCUGGCGCUUAUUUUUGGACGCGGCUUUGCCACGGCUUAUUUUUGGCACCCCGAGGCCCCUCGCAAAGUCUCGCCCCAUUCCGAGUCCAGGGGACGAACAUCGCCCGCGCCCCCCACCAAGGCUAUAGCCCACCCGUUUUUUGGCCUUUUUUCCGCUGGGGGGUUUUGGCACCACGACCUUCGGGCGAUUAUUUUUGGGUGCGGCUUUGCCUGUGGCUUAUUUUUGGUACCCCGAGGCUCCUCGCAAAGUCUCGCCCCAUUCCGAGUCCGGCGGACGAACUUCGCCCGCUCCCCCCAGCAAGGCUAUAGCCCACCCGUUUUUUGGCCUUUUUUCCGCUGGGGGGUUUUGGCACCACGACCUUCGGGCGCUUAUUUUUGAGCGCGGCUUUGCCCGCGGCUUAUUUUUGGCACCCCGAGGCCCCUCGCAAAGUCUCGCAAAGUCUCGCCCCAUUCAGCAGGGGGGUCUUGGGACCCCGACCUUCGGGGGCUGAUUUUUGGGCGUGGCUGUGCCCGUGGCCUGUUUUUGGCACACGGAGGCCGCCCGCCAAGUAUGGUGCCAUUCCGAGUCCCGCGGACGAACUUCGCCCACGCCCCCUACCAAGGCUAUAGCCCACCCGUUUUUUGGCCAUUUUUCCGCUGAGGGGUCUUGGGACCCCGACCUUCGGGGGCUGAUUUUUGGGCGCGGCUGUGCCCGUGGCCUAUUUUUUGCACACGGAGGCCGCCCACCAAGUCUGGUGCCAUUCCGAGUCCGGCCGACGAACUUCGCCCACGCCCCCCACCAAGGCUAUAGCCCACCUGUUUUUUGGCCAUUUUUCCACUGGGGGGUCUUGGGGCCACGACCUUCGGGGGCUGAUUUUUGGGCGCGGCUGUGCACAUGGCCUAUUUUUGGCACACGGAGGCCGCCCGCCAAGUCUGGGGCCAUUCCGAGUCCGGCGGACGAACUUCGCCCACGCCCCCCACCAAGGCUAUAGCCCACCAGUUUUUUGGCCAUUUUUCCGCUGGGGGGUCUUGGGACCCCGACCUUCGGGGGCUGAUUUUUGCGCGCGGCUGUGCCCGUGGCCUAUUUUUAGCACACGGAGGCCGCCCGCCAAGUCUGGCGCCAUCGCGAGUCCCGCGGACGAAUUUCGCCCACGCCCCCUACCAAGGCUAUAGCCCACCCGUUUUUUGGCCAUUUUUCCGCUGAGGGGUCUUGGGACCCCGACCUUCGGGGUCUGAUUUUUGGGCGCGGCUGUGCCCGUGGCCUAUUUUUGGCACACGGAGGCCGCCGCCAAGUCUGGUGCCAUUCCGAGUCCGGCCGACGAACUUCGCCCACGCCCCCAACCAAGGCUAUAGCCCACCCAUUUUUUGGCCGUUUUUCCGCUGGGGGGUCUUGGGGCCCCGACUUUCGGGGGCUGAUUUUUGGGCGCGGCUGUGCCCGUGGCCUAUUUUUGGUACAUGGAGGCCGCCCGCCAAGUCUGGGGCCAUUCCGAGUCCGGCGGACGAACUUCGCCCACGCCCCCCACCAAGGCUAUAGCCCACCCGUUUUUUGGCCAUUUUUCCGCUGGGGGGUCUUGGGACCCCGACCUUCGGGGGCUGAUUAUUGGGCGCGGCUGUGCCCAUGGCCUAUUUAUGGCACAGGGAGGCCGCCCGCCAAGUCUGGGGCCAUUCCGAGUCCCGCGGACGAACUUCGCCAACGACCCCCACCAAGGCUAUAGCCCACCCGUUUUUUGGCCAUUUUUCCGCUGGGGGGUCUUGGGACCCCGACCUUCGGGGGCUGAUUUUUGGGCGCGGCUGUGCCCGUGGCCUAUUUUUGGCACAGGGAGGCCGCCCGCCAAGUCUGGGGCCAUUCCUAGUCCGGACGACGAAUUUCGCCCGC
rnacentral:lncRNA from 1 species